UCUGCCACCGAAUACAUUAUCAUGGGAUAAUGGAAUAGGACCCUGUCCUCCUAUUUUCAGUUGGUUUUGGCAGCGCGAGGACUAGGGUAAUGAUUAAUAGGGAUAGUUGGGGGCAUUAAUAUUUAAUUGUCAGAGGUGAAAUUCUUGGAUUUAUGAAAGAUUAACUUCUGCGAAAGCAUCUGCCAAGGAUGUUUUCAUUAAUCAAGAACGAAAGUUAGGGGAUCGAAGACGAUCAGAUACCGUCGUAGUCUUAACCAUAAACGAUGCCGACCAGCGAUUAGGAGACGUUGAAUACAAAACACCACCAUCGGCGCGGUCGUCCUUGGCGUCUCGGUUUCGGCCGGGGCGCGGGGAUGGCUUAGCCCGGUGGCACCGGUGAAUGACUCCCCUACCAGCUUGUGA
rnacentral:rRNA from 1 species